GACAGAGGGUGCAAACGUUGUUCGGAAUUACUGGGCGUAAAGCGAGUGUAGGCGGUUUGGUAAGUCGGAUGUGAAAGCCCCGGGCUCAACCCGGGAAGUGCACUCGAUACUGCCAAGCUAGAGUGUCGGAGAGGUUGGUGGAAUUCUCGGUGUAGAGGUGAAAUUCGUAGAUAUCAGGAGGAACACCGGAGGCGAAGGCGGUUGCCUGGCAGUGUAUUGACGCUGAGGUGCGAAAGCGUGGGGAGCAAACAGG
rnacentral:rRNA from 1 species